AGUGAACGCUGGCGGCGUGCCUAAUACAUGCAAGUCGAACGAAGUGGCGCACGGGGGAGUGAUAUAUAGUUAAUCUGCCCUCCACAGAGGAACAACAGUUGGAAACGACUGCUAAUACCUCAUAGUGUAGGAUGAGACUAUAUCGUAUCAGCUAGUUGGUAAGGUAAUGGCUUACCAAGGCUAUGACGCGUAACUGGUCUGAGAGGAUGAUCAGUCACAUUGGAAGUGAGACACGGUCCAAACUCCUACGGGAGGCAGCAGUAAAGAAUAGUGCGCAAUGGGCGAGACCGUGACGCAGCAGCGCCGUGUAGAGGAUGGCACUUUUCGUAGCAUAAACUCCUUUUAUCAGGAAAGCGGUACCUGAUGAAUAAGCACCGGCUAACUCCGUGCCAGCAGCCGCGGUAAUUC
rnacentral:rRNA from 1 species